GUGCAAUGUGCUGAUCUUUGGCUAGUUAGAAAAUGGAACCUACAUAGCAAGCUGCCAUUGGGUAAGGGGCAUAUUAGUUUGAAUUUGAAAAUGCAAUUUCUAACAAGAGUAAAUUCGUGUAGUCCAAAAUCAUUUCUAGAAUCACAAAGCCUCAUAAGCAAUUUAAUAAAUAAAUAAAUAAAUAAAAGAGAAUAAAAAAAUGCUCAUAAUGAUAAACUUUCAUCAGUCAUAGCAA
rnacentral:lncRNA from 1 species